GGGUUGUGAGGUUAAGCGACUAAGCGUACACGGUGGAUGCCCUGGCAGUCAGAGGCGAUGAAGGACGUGCUAAUCUGCGAAAAGCGCCGGCGAGGUGAUAUGAACCUUUGACCCGGCGAUGUCCGAAUGGGGAAACCCAGUGUGUUUCGACACACUAUCGUUAACUGAAUACAUAGGUUAACGAGGCGAACCGGGGGAACUGAAACAUCUAAGUACCCCGAGGAAAAGAAAUCAACCGAGAUUCCCCCAGUAGCGGCGAGCGAACGGGGAGCAGCCCAGAGUCUGAAUCAGCUUGUGUGUUAGUGGAACGGUCUGGAAAGUCCGGCGAUACAGGGUGACAGCCCCGUACACGAAAAUGCACAGGCUGUGAACUCGAAGAGUAGGGCGGGACACGUGGUAUCCUGUCUGAAUAUGGGGGACCAUCCUCCAAGGCUAAAUACUCCUGACUGACCGAUAGUGAACCAGUACCGUGAGGGAAAGGCGAAAAGAACCCCGGCGAGGGGAGUGAAAAAGAACCUGAAACCGUGUACGUACAAGCAGUGGGAGCACCUUCGUGGUGUGACUGCGUACCUUUUGUAUAAUGGGUCAGCGACUUAUAUUCUGUAGCAAGGUUAACCGUAUAGGGGAGCCGAAGGGAAACCGAGUCUUAACUGGGCGUUAAGUUGCAGGGUAUAGACCCGAAACCCGGUGAUCUAGCCAUGGGCAGGUUGAAGGUUGGGUAACACUAACUGGAGGACCGAACCGACUAAUGUUGAAAAAUUAGCGGAUGACUUGUGGCUGGGGGUGAAAGGCCAAUCAAACCGGGAGAUAGCUGGUUCUCCCCGAAAGCUAUUUAGGUAGCGCCUCGUGAACUCAUCUUCGGGGGUAGAGCACUGUUUCGGCUAGGGGGCCAUCCCGGCUUACCAACCCGAUGCAAACUACGAAUACCGAAGAAUGUUAUCACGGGAGACACACGGCGGGUGCUAACGUCCGUCGUGAAGAGGGAAACAACCCAGACCGCCAGCUAAGGUCCCAAAGUCAUGGUUAAGUGGGAAACGAUGUGGGAAGGCACAGACAGCCAGGAUGUUGGCUUAGAAGCAGCCAUCAUUUAAAGAAAGCGUAAUAGCUCACUGGUCGAGUCGGCCUGCGCGGAAGAUGUAACGGGGCUAAACCAUGCACCGAAGCUGCGGCAGCGACACUAUGUGUUGUUGGGUAGGGGAGCGUUCUGUAAGCCGUUGAAGGUGUGCUGUGAGGCAUGCUGGAGGUAUCAGAAGUGCGAAUGCUGACAUAAGUAACGAUAAAGCGGGUGAAAAGCCCGCUCGCCGGAAGACCAAGGGUUCCUGUCCAACGUUAAUCGGGGCAGGGUGAGUCGACCCCUAAGGCGAGGCCGAAAGGCGUAGUCGAUGGGAAACAGGUUAAUAUUCCUGUACUUGGUGUUACUGCGAAGGGGGGACGGAGAAGGCUAUGUUAGCCGGGCGACGGUUGUCCCGGUUUAAGCAUGUAGGCGGAGGUUCCAGGUAAAUCCGGUACCUUAUUAACGCUGAGGUGUGAUGACGAGGCACUACGGUGCUGAAGUAACAAAUGCCCUGCUUCCAGGAAAAGCCUCUAAGCAUCAGGUAACAUCAAAUCGUACCCCAAACCGACACAGGUGGUCAGGUAGAGAAUACCAAGGCGCUUGAGAGAACUCGGGUGAAGGAACUAGGCAAAAUGGUGCCGUAACUUCGGGAGAAGGCACGCUGAUAUGUAGGUGAAGCCCCUGCGGGUGGAGCUGAAAUCAGUCGAAGAUACCAGCUGGCUGCAACUGUUUAUUAAAAACACAGCACUGUGCAAACACGAAAGUGGACGUAUACGGUGUGACGCCUGCCCGGUGCCGGAAGGUUAAUUGAUGGGGUUAGCGGUAACGCGAAGCUCUUGAUCGAAGCCCCGGUAAACGGCGGCCGUAACUAUAACGGUCCUAAGGUAGCGAAAUUCCUUGUCGGGUAAGUUCCGACCUGCACGAAUGGCGUAAUGAUGGCCAGGCUGUCUCCACCCGAGACUCAGUGAAAUUGAACUCGCUGUGAAGAUGCAGUGUACCCGCGGCAAGACGGAAAGACCCCGUGAACCUUUACUAUAGCUUGACACUGAACACUGGUCCUUGAUGUGUAGGAUAGGUGGGAGGCUUUGAAGCGUGGACGCCAGUCUGCGUGGAGCCGUCCUUGAAAUACCACCCUUUAAUGGCUGGUGUUCUAACGUAGACCCGUAAUCCGGGUUGCGGACAGUGUCUGGUGGGUAGUUUGACUGGGGCGGUCUCCUCCCAAAGAGUAACGGAGGAGCACGAAGGUUAGCUAAUCCUGGUCGGACAUCAGGAGGUUAGUGCAAUGGCAUAAGCUAGCUUGACUGCGAGAGUGACGGCUCGAGCAGGUGCGAAAGCAGGUCAUAGUGAUCCGGUGGUUCUGAAUGGAAGGGCCAUCGCUCAACGGAUAAAAGGUACUCCGGGGAUAACAGGCUGAUACCGCCCAAGAGUUCAUAUCGACGGCGGUGUUUGGCACCUCGAUGUCGGCUCAUCACAUCCUGGGGCUGAAGUAGGUCCCAAGGGUAUGGCUGUUCGCCAUUUAAAGUGGUACGCGAGCUGGGUUUAGAACGUCGUGAGACAGUUCGGUCCCUAUCUGCCGUGGGCGCUGGAGAAUUGAGGGGGGCUGCUCCUAGUACGAGAGGACCGGAGUGGACGCAUCACUGGUGUUCGGGUUGUCAUGCCAAUGGCACUGCCCGGUAGCUAAAUGCGGAAAAGAUAAGUGCUGAAAGCAUCUAAGCACGAAACUUGCCCCGAGAUGAGUUCUCCCUGAGACUUUAAGUCUCCUGAAGGAACGUUGAAGACGACGACGUUGAUAGGUCGGGUGUGUAAGCGCAGCGAUGCGUUGAGCUAACCGAUACUAAUGAACCGUGAGGCUUAACCUUACAACGCCGAAGGUGUUU
rnacentral:rRNA from 1 species